rnacentral:rRNA from 1 species
AUUGAACGCUGGCGGCAGGCCUAACACAUGCAAGUCGAACGGUAACAGGAAGAAGCUUGCUUCUUUGCUGACGAGUGGCGGACGGGUGAGUAAUGUCUGGGAAACUGCCUGAUGGAGGGGGAUAACUACUGGAAACGGUAGCUAAUACCGCAUAACGUCGCAAGACCAAAGAGGGGGACCUUCGGGCCUCUUGCCAUCGGAUGUGCCCAGAUGGGAUUAGCUAGUAGGUGGGGUAACGGCUCACCUAGGCGACGAUCCCUAGCUGGUCUGAGAGGAUGACCCGCCACACUGGAGCUGGGACACGGUCCAGACUCCUACGGGAGGCAGCAGUGGGGAAUAUUGCACAAUGGGCGCAAGCCUGAUGCAGCCAUGCCGCGUGUAUGAAGAAGGCCUUCGGGUUGUAAAGUACUUUCAGCGGGGAGGAAGGGAGUAAAGUUAAUACCUUUGCUCAUUGACGUUACCCGCAGAAGAAGCACCGGCUAACUCCGUG